AAAGUUUUAGUAUAAUAUUAGUAUAAUUUAUUGUCAAUAAAUAGGUAAAAACUUUA
rnacentral:tRNA from 1 species